AAAACAGCCCAAAGACUAAUGCGCAGCGGAGGUAACGACGGGCGCUAGCAGCUUCGGUUGUCCUGGUUCUACCUCAGAGCUGAAAUCGACGAAACCGGAGGUAGCAGAGCCCAAAACUAUUAUUUGAAGCUCAAUCAUUGUUUGUGCAACUGAGAAUUUUUCAGUAGGUCUCAAUUGACGGAGGGCUUCCACAGAAUCACAUUCUCUCUGCUAUUUUCAACAAGGGAAUCCAUUCUCUUUGGGGGUGGAACGACCCAAGAUUGUAAUUUGCAUCACUUAAACUCACAGAAAACGUUAAUCACUUGCUAACAAUACUGCAUCAAUAUAAUGCUUGGGAUCUCUUAUGGAGAACUCUUCCUCUUGCUCGGAGCCACUGCUGCACUUAUUGGACCCAAGGAUCUACCAGUAAUAGCAAGAACAGCUGGGAGAUUAGCUGGUCGAGCCAUUGGCUAUGUCCAGUUGGCUCGGGGUCAAUUCGAGAACGUCAUGCAGCAAUCAGGUCCACAAGGAACUUCAAGACACAAUGGCUCAACUUGAAGCCAUACGUCAUGAAAUUCGAAGCAUAUCUAUCUUGAAUCCAGGUCCAUUAACUCGGAGGCUAGUAGAUAACAUUGAUCCUUCAUCUGGCUCUAAUGCCAGUAGCAUUCCUGAAAAUCUAGAUACAGAGAAUACACUGAAAGCUACUGUUUCCAAGCCUCAUAUUGAGCAAACAAAGGGAGGAAGUAUACCAACAGCUACCAUUUCCAAGGCAUUGGGUUUAUGUAUUAUGCACAGCCAAGCAACUGCAUAUGCAAGAUUGGCUGAAUCCUCUGCCUCAAAGCUUGGCUUAUUUCAAAGUAAUGCAGAUGCUGGAGAUCUUGUUGAUG
rnacentral:misc_RNA from 1 species